UUUCCUACGGGGCGCAGCAGUGGGGAAUAUUGGGCAAUGGACGCAAGUCUGACCCAGCAACGCCGCGUGAAGGAAGAAGGCUUUCGGGUUGUAAACUUCUUUUAAGGGGGAAGAGUAGAAGACGGUACCCCUUGAAUAAGCCACGGCUAACUACGUGCCAGCAGCCGCGGUAAUACGUAGGUGGCAAGCGUUGUCCGGAUUUACUGGGUGUAAAGGGCGUGCAGCCGGGCUGACAAGUCAGAUGUGAAAUCCCGCGGCUCAACCGCGGAACUGCAUUUGAAACUGUCAGUCUUGAGUACCGGAGA
rnacentral:rRNA from 1 species